rnacentral:rRNA from 1 species
UACAGAGAGUGCGAACGUUGUUCGGAAUUACUGGGCUUAAAGCGCACGUAGGCGGUGCUGUAAGUGUCAGGUGAAAUCCCACGGCUCACCCGUGGAACUGCCUGGCAGACUGCGGUACUAGAGUGUGGUAGGGGAGAGCGGAACUCCUGGUGGAGCGGUGAAAUGCGUAGAUAUCAGGAGGAACACCGGUGGCGAAGGCAGCCCCCUGGGCUAACACUGACGCUCAGGCACGAAAGCGUGGGGAGCAAACAGG